rnacentral:lncRNA from 1 species
AAGGCUAAGCCUUUGGAGAUCAUCUUUCGGCCCCGCCCCACCAUGACUAGCCUCCUUUCUCAACUUUGAAUGCCUUUAUACUAUCCCACUUCUAAUAGGAUAAGAUGUUGCUAUUGCAUCAUGGCUAUCCCCACAGACAUUUGAAUCUUAUAUAUGAUACAUUUGAAUCAGGUAUUUAUGUCGUAGAAUAUUUUCUUGCAUCCAAAAUCCCUGGCAAGGAAAAAAUAUAGCAUUUUCUUAUCACAUAUGGACAUGACAGCAUAGCCAUGAUGCUUGUGCCCUAGUUUCAUAUGAUCUACUAACUAUUUCUCAUUGAUGGAAUGACUAUCUUUAAAAGUGGUUGAGUAAUUAAAUUAUAUCCUCUAGUUAAGCAGCAAACUAGAUAAGCAAUAAUUUCCAGCGAAAGAGUAUGCAAGACUUCCAGUCUGUCUAUGGUUAUUUAUUUAUUUAUUUUAUCUUGAAAGUUAAUAUUUUUAUUUAACUAAAUAAGAAAUUUAAAUAAUAAACAUAAUAUGGUAACAUUAUCUACUGUGCUCUUAUGAACUCUGGACAAGAAACACUUGAAAUUUUUUUAAAAAAAUAAUUUUUUUGAAUUGAAUAAAGAGAUCGACUUCUAGGAUAAAAAUAAUUUUAUUGUAAAAAAAAAAAGCCAAAUAUUGUGUAUUUUAAAAUUAUAUAUUUAACUCACGACACACGUUUAAUAAUUUUCCCAAUUGAAUAACGAAUAAUUUAGGACCAACCCACAAAAUAAAGAAACAUAAAGAUUCAUUAAUUCAAAACUUCUAAAUUUGGAUGAUUUCAACUUUUGCACUAACUUUUUUUAUUAGAACGAGGGCAUAUGUUGAACGAGCUAUGAGACUGACCUUACGUUGUGAACUAACAAGGCACUAUUCAAAAUCGGUGCUUCUGGGAUAUUUAGAGGAAGUGGUUAGCUCGGUUAGAAAUGGUCACCAUGCUAGUGGUUGAUUGAUGCUCGGAUGCCCAUACCUCAUUAUGAAAUGCAAGAUAAUAAUUAUGGUUCUUUGAUUUGAGAAUAUGAUUUUACACAAUAUUCCAUGAUUAUGAAAAUACUAUUAAAUCAUAUUUAAUGCUCAUCAUAUAAUGCUUGUAGUGUUUAUCGAUAAACUUCCUUCUUCAAAAUGAUCGAUUAAUUCCUUGACUCUCCACCCCCUUAGUAGUUGGCCCUUUUCGGUGCUUAUUUUUGCUUUUCAUUUCCAGAUGUCAGCCAGUCUUUAUCUUUAUAGCUUUCCCCCAAUUCUCCCCAUGUGGAUCUUAAUAGGGGAAUUGAAAACUAGAGUAUUGGUUGGACUUUUUUUCCAAGAGAUUUAGUGGGCAUACCAUGGUGAGGAUAUUUGCCCCAAUUCUGAGAGUGACCAUUACUUUGCUAUCUAUAUCAUCCCUUAGUCUUUUUUUUUUUCACUUUCCUGUUUUUCUCCCCAUGCUUCCAUACCUACCCUUUCAUAACUUCUGUUAGUGAUAUCAUGUGGAUAGCGUUUUCAUAGCUUCCUUUAGUGAUAUUGUGGGUAGCUUCCUAAUGAUAUAUUGGGCUUUCAUCAUUUUAUACGAAAACUAAUUAAUAUUCAAUAAGAAUUAAUCAAACUUUUUAUCAUAUUCGACAUCAUUCCAUAUGAACUUAUUCUAAGAGUCAUCAUUUGGGUGAUCCAUUCCCAUGCUUAAGAGUGAUAUUCUUGCACACCAACAAAUAUCAAGUUGGUUUAAUAAUUUCAAGUCCCACCUCUGGUUAAGGUUUUCUUUUGUGUUUUUCUCUUCUAUUUCUUUAACAGUACUUCUAUUAUAUUUAGGCUUGUCUAAUUACUUUGGUGUUAGACAAGCAAGUGAACUAGUUUUGGCUGUUUUUUCUUUUUGGGGUUUUUUUUAUUCACCCAUUCUUGUGCUGUUGAGUGUUGACUCAUCUUCACGUAACAGCUGAGAUCAUCUGGGAGGUAUUAUAAUGUAAUGGCUGCACUCGUGCUUCUGCGCCAUUAGAGCAUCGAAUCAUCCUCUUCAAAAUUUCUCUUGUUUGCCAGUUUCAAACCAGUGCACAAAGCAAAGCGUGAAAAGCAAGACGAAAGGAAAAAUUCGAAUAGUAGAUGAUGAUAUGGAUAUGGAUGAUUUUCUGGAGGAACCUCCGCCGCUUCG